ACCUUGCUGAUGAGUGCCAAGUAGCACGAAACCCGUGUCCAGGGU
rfam:Schistosoma margrebowiei strain Zambia genome assembly, scaffold: SMRZ_contig0005526